rnacentral:rRNA from 1 species
CCCUUAGAUGUCCGGGGCCGCACGCGCGCUACACUGAAGGAAUCAGCGUGGCUUUCUCCCUGACCCGAAAGGGUUGGGAAACCCGUUGAAUCUCCUUCGUGAUAGGGAUUGGGGCUUGAAAUUGUUCCCCAUGAACGAGGAAUUCCCAGUAAGCGCGAGUCAUAAGCUCGCGUUGAUUACGUCCCUGCCCUUUGUACACACCGCCCGUCGCACCUACCGAUUGAAUGGUCCGGUGAAGCCUCGGGAUUGUGGCUGGUUUCCUUUAUUGGAGGUCGGUUGCGAGAACUUGUCUAAACCUUAUCAUUUAGAGGAAGGUGAAGUCGUAACA